rnacentral:lncRNA from 1 species
AAAAAAUUUAGAUCAGGUCGAAAAUUCCGCAAUAUUGGUUUUUGGUAAGCCUUGAAGUGUUUUGACUAAAGUAUUUUUUCUUGAUGUUUUUGGUCUAAUCUUACUCAGAUUUCAAAACAGAAACUUACUCUCAGUCUGAAAAUUGAAUCUUUUCUUUGAAAGUUAUAGAAAGAGGAUAUUCUGAUAAUUUUUAAAAACAUUUUCCAAUUGUAUUUGAAUAUGGCAUUUUCAUUUUAAAAAUUCCAUCUCUUCCUUACGGCUUUGCUUUUGACAAAUCAACAUCUUACAGUGAAAAACACUUCACAGAACACUUCCCAAUUUUGCCUAAUAUUUACAUCUGUUCUUCUCUGAGAAUGUGUCACAGCUGUAGAUCAACAGGAAUCACAUAGAACACGGUUGAUUUAUGGUCAAAAUAAUAUUUUUAAAUCAACUUGUAUUUAAGAGUAGUGAAUAGCACAUGUCCAUAUAUCAGCAAUGUAUCAUAAGGAUUUUGUACCGCUUUUACAUUUUUUACAUUUCUUUUGCAUAAUUAUACACGAUUCAUGUGUGAUUGUAAUUUUUACAAUUAUUUUACAUAAUUACAUGUUAUUAGAGCUGAAAUUUGGGCACAGUUAAAGACUGCAAGCCAGAUCCUCAAUGUUUCAGGCAUCCACCCUGAUGGCAUCAUCUGUCUUCUGAGACAGGCAAAUUGGACCAAAAGGGACUACUGUCCACUGAAAUUAGAACAACCCCAGAGAGAUACAUGACUGUGAAGUGGCAAGGAAAAGGAAAUUGUUUGUCACUGCUGCUUUUAUCCUUAGCUCCAGCUUUGGCCUCAGAUGGUGUGAUCCCCGCUAGACACAGCACUCAUGGGGAGUUGAAGGAAAUUCAAGGGAAACUGCACACUGCUUUCCUGCAUCUGUCCUCACUGCCUUCAUCUAUGGCCCCCAAACCACAGGGCAGAAGAGGGACUCCUGAAGCCACUGAAGGAAGGAAAUCAUUACAGGGUUCUACAGAAGUAGGUCAUGUGCUACAGCUGCUCAUAGUUUAAGAGGAAGAAACAUGGGACCUCAAACAUGGAACACGACUCCUUCAAAAUGCUUGAGAGCAACCCAAGAAAAACAUCCUCAGAGGCUUAUUUAAUAAACAUUAUCUAUAAUAGUCUCA